CCCACGUGGAGCAGAAAUGAAUGGAAGUGACAGGCCUUCUCUUCAAAAUAAGCAAGUCUGUAUAGAUGUGUCCCUACGGAGGCAGCUAACAGAAAGUGGGAUAUAAUUAAGAUUGCAUUGUGAAUUUGUUCUGUGUCCCCUCUUAUAAAUGGCAGAAGAAAACUCAACUCAGCACAACCAGAAACACUUUUCUGAAGAAAAUUCUGCCAAGAGACAGUUGUGAGGGGAAUUUUGUAGAUAAUCUCCAGAAAAGAAAUCACCA